rnacentral:tRNA from 1 species
GGCGGCGUAGCCAAGUGGACUAAGGCUACGGUUUGCAAAACCGUCAUCCCCGGUUCGAAUCCGGGCGCCGCCUCCA